GGGUUGUGAGGUUAAGCGACUAAGCGUACACGGUGGAUGCCCUGGCAGUCAGAGGCGAUGAAGGACGUGCUAAUCUGCGAAAAGCGUCGGUAAGGUGAUAUGAACCGUUAUAACCGGCGAUGUCCGAAUGGGGAAACCCAGUGCAAUUCGUUGCACUAUCGUUAACUGAAUACAUAGGUUAACGAGGCGAACCGGGGGAACUGAAACAUCUAAGUACCCCGAGGAAAAGAAAUCAACCGAGAUUCCCCCAGUAGCGGCGAGCGAACGGGGAGCAGCCCAGAGUCUGAAUCAGCUUGUGUGUUAGUGGAACGGUCUGGAAAGUCCGACGGUACAGGGUGAUAGUCCCGUACACCAAAAUGCACAGGCUGUGAACUCGAAGAGUAGGGCGGGACACGUGGUAUCCUGUCUGAAUAUGGGGGGACCAUCCUCCAAGGCUAAAUACUCCUGACUGACCGAUAGUGAACCAGUACCGUGAGGGAAAGGCGAAAAGAACCCCGGCGAGGGGAGUGAAAAAGAACCUGAAACCGUGUACGUACAAGCAGUGGGAGCACCUUCGGGUGUGACUGCGUACCUUUUGUAUAAUGGGUCAGCGACUUAUAUUCUGUAGCAAGGUUAACCGUAUAGGGGAGCCGCAGGGAAACCGAGUCUUAACUGGGCGUUAAGUUGCAGGGUAUAGACCCGAAACCCGGUGAUCUAGCCAUGGGCAGGUUGAAGGUUGGGUAACACUAACUGGAGGACCGAACCGACUAAUGUUGAAAAAUUAGCGGAUGACUUGUGGCUGGGGGUGAAAGGCCAAUCAAACCGGGAGAUAGCUGGUUCUCCCCGAAAGCUAUUUAGGUAGCGCCUCGUGAAUUCAUCUUCGGGGGUAGAGCACUGUUUCGGCUAGGGGGUCAUCCCGACUUACCAACCCGAUGCAAACUACGAAUACCGAAGAAUGUUAUCACGGGAGACACACGGCGGGUGCUAACGUCCGUCGUGAAGAGGGAAACAACCCAGACCGCCAGCUAAGGUCCCAAAGUCAUGGUUAAGUGGGAAACGAUGUGGGAAGGCACAGACAGCCAGGAUGUUGGCUUAGAAGCAGCCAUCAUUUAAAGAAAGCGUAAUAGCUCACUGGUCGAGUCGGCCUGCGCGGAAGAUGUAACGGGGCUAAACCAUGCACCGAAGCUGCGGCAGCGACACUAUGUGUUGUUGGGUAGGGGAGCGUUCUGUAAGCCUGCGAAGGUGUGCUGUGAGGCAUGCUGGAGGUAUCAGAAGUGCGAAUGCUGACAUAAGUAACGAUAAAGCGGGUGAAAAGCCCGCUCGCCGGAAGACCAAGGGUUCCUGUCCAACGUUAAUCGGGGCAGGGUGAGUCGACCCCUAAGGCGAGGCCGAAAGGCGUAGUCGAUGGGAAACAGGUUAAUAUUCCUGUACUUGGUGUUACUGCGAAGGGGGGACGGAGAAGGCUAUGUUAGCCGGGCGACGGUUGUCCCGGUUUAAGCAUGUAGGCUGGUUGUCCAGGCAAAUCCGGAUAAUCAAGGCUGAGGUGUGAUGACGAGGCACUACGGUGCUGAAGUAACAAAUGCCCUGCUUCCAGGAAAAGCCUCUAAGCAUCAGGUAACAUCAAAUCGUACCCCAAACCGACACAGGUGGUCAGGUAGAGAAUACCAAGGCGCUUGAGAGAACUCGGGUGAAGGAACUAGGCAAAAUGGUGCCGUAACUUCGGGAGAAGGCACGCUGGUGUGUAGGUGAAGUCCCUGCGGAUGGAGCUGAGACCAGUCGAAGAUACCAGCUGGCUGCAACUGUUUAUUAAAAACACAGCACUGUGCAAACACGAAAGUGGACGUAUACGGUGUGACGCCUGCCCGGUGCCGGAAGGUUAAUUGAUGGGGUUAUCCGUAAGGAGAAGCUCUUGAUCGAAGCCCCGGUAAACGGCGGCCGUAACUAUAACGGUCCUAAGGUAGCGAAAUUCCUUGUCGGGUAAGUUCCGACCUGCACGAAUGGCGUAAUGAUGGCCAGGCUGUCUCCACCCGAGACUCAGUGAAAUUGAACUCGCUGUGAAGAUGCAGUGUACCCGCGGCAAGACGGAAAGACCCCGUGAACCUUUACUAUAGCUUGACACUGAACAUUGAGCCUUGAUGUGUAGGAUAGGUGGGAGGCUUUGAAGCGUGGACGCCAGUCUGCGUGGAGCCAACCUUGAAAUACCACCCUUUAAUGUUUGAUGUUCUAACGUUGGCCCCUGACCGGGGUUGCGGACAGUGUCUGGUGGGUAGUUUGACUGGGGCGGUCUCCUCCCAAAGCGUAACGGAGGAGCACGAAGGUUAGCUAAUCCUGGUCGGACAUCAGGAGGUUAGUGCAAUGGCAUAAGCUAGCUUGACUGCGAGCGUGACGGCGCGAGCAGGUGCGAAAGCAGGUCAUAGUGAUCCGGUGGUUCUGAAUGGAAGGGCCAUCGCUCAACGGAUAAAAGGUACUCCGGGGAUAACAGGCUGAUACCGCCCAAGAGUUCAUAUCGACGGCGGUGUUUGGCACCUCGAUGUCGGCUCAUCACAUCCUGGGGCUGAAGUAGGUCCCAAGGGUAUGGCUGUUCGCCAUUUAAAGUGGUACGCGAGCUGGGUUUAGAACGUCGUGAGACAGUUCGGUCCCUAUCUGCCGUGGGCGCUGGAGAAUUGAGGGGGGCUGCUCCUAGUACGAGAGGACCGGAGUGGACGCAUCACUGGUGUUCGGGUUGUCAUGCCAAUGGCA
rnacentral:rRNA from 1 species